CUAUGUUUUAGUGUUGCUGGUGGUGGUGUUGGUAUUUGAGACUUGGUGUUCUCUAGUGGAGUUGCAGCAACUUCAGGAGGAGGUGGUUCUGUAGGGGGUUGAGUGGAUUCUGAAGCAGGGGUUGAGGGUGAAGAUGAAUCCGAAAAAUCAAAAUCAGAAGUGAAUGAUGAAGAAGAUGAGAGUGGUGGAGACUUUGUUCUUUGAAACCUUUAAGAGUAAUGUUUUAUUAUUUAGUAAUUGUGCAGCUUGAUUCUUAGUUUCUAAAUCAAGAUAAAUGUUGCUUUAUUGGAAAGAACACAGUUAAUGUUUUCACUGAUGCUCCAAAGUUUAUCACCGGAUGAAGUACGCCACUCGCAGUCAGUUGAGAAGACCAGUCUGCGGAAACUCUUAAUGUAACUGAUAACAAAGUUGAGGGGAUAAAUACAGAAGGACAGAUUAGUGCUCCAGAAAAGGAAGCAUAAGCUCAAGGGAAACAGAGAACAACAUAGUGGACUGUUGCUGAGAAAUAUUGUUGGAGCAGAUGUUGCGUUCCCUCAAAACUUAGGAAUUCUCUUAAAUGAUCUGAGUUCCAUGAGUUACGAUUUCUGAGUUCUAGCAGCAGAGUAGAUGAGUUUGUAAUGGUUUUUGAUGAAGUUCUGGUGAUGCUAUACCUAAGAAACCAAAUGAAGAAAACAAGUGUUGCUUCCAUGGCUUGUGUGAGAUGCUUAAGUCUAUGAAGCAGCUGGAGGCUGAAAUCGCACAGCUGAAUCAUGUGGUAACUUAGUGGCAUUUGAUGUUUUGCUUUUCCGGAUCAAAAUUAUCUCAACCAGUUAUUUGAACUUUCAUAUUAUAGGUUCGCCAACGAGAGGAGGACACCCAAUGCACCAAAAUGAUGUUGAAGUUCGGGAGGACAAGAUUCAGAAAAUGGAGUCACUGGUUGUUGGUGGUUUGAUACCUUAUGAUACUUGGUCAUACUUACUUUUUGAGCUUGUCGGUUUCAGGACUUUUAUGAAGAAGGAGAGAUAGAACUGCUAAUGACUGAAGUAUCUGAACUGCGCGAUCAGGCCAUUCUUCAUUUUAAUCUCACAAUUUUAGUAUUCGCUUGCUAAUUUAUUCGGCACUUGGUUGUAUACUAAUUACAACUUUUUUACAGCUACUUUAAAAUGUUACUGUGCCACCACUGAUCAUCUAGUUUAUGUCUUUGCAAACAUCUUAUAUGUAUCAAUUCAUCCAUGUAUUAUACGAUUGGAUCUCUUGAUUAAUCCUUUACCAUGGCACAUGUUUCCACAGAAGGAUGUUGUCAUAGGGCAUAAUUCAAACCAGUUGGAGACAAAUGCAAAACUUACCAGUGAAAUUAUGCCCUAUUCUGCUUGCAGGGGAUUGAUAGCAAGGGGAUAAGUUGUCAAGUCUAGUAAUUCAGCUAAAAAUCAUUUAGUUUUGAUGGUCUGGAUGGCAAUAUGAGCUCCUUUAUGAUGCCUCUUUUAAAAUUUGGGGAGAGAUUUUAAGAUGUCAAUGAUGUGAUCUUGAUAUAGGAUGAUUUAGAGCAUUUCACUGAGAAUAAUAAUUGGGCUAGGUCGAAAAAGAUUAUUCAUAAUAUAGUCUCUGAGUUCAAAAUUCAAGUAGAGGUAGAAAUGUUUGUUCAUUUCAUUUUUCAUACUUUCUCGGAAUCACAGACUUCUGUCUCUUUCUCUUUCUAGGGAGUCUCAGACCAGAAACUUCAAUUUCACUUGGGUUUGUGAGUCCCACUUCUGUCAGUUUUAUUUCUUAUGUUAUCUCUUUUGU